rnacentral:lncRNA from 1 species
GUUCUUACAACAAUAUACAACACAGAUGAACUAAAGUUCACGGUCUCCCUAUGUAAUCCAGGCUGGCCUGGAACUCACUGUGUAGUUCAAACUGGCCUUGGAUUCACAGUGAUCUUCCUGUCUCAUCCUGCUCAUGCUCCCCAGGUCAGCACCCCCACGGCCAGGAUGAAGAAAAAAAAGGAAACCCCAGGCUGCCAGCACCGAAGAAGGAAAAUCAAGGCAGCACCAACUCUUGCUUGGGGUGGAGGCAGGGUGGGCAGGCGGGCAUUCGUCCUGUCAGCGGCACCUGCAAGUACCCAAGGCCAAGGGCCUCCUGCUUCCCAAGAGGGUGAAGGCACCAGCUCAGGUGCCACCUCUGCAGGGACAGGGAUCCAGAAUGGGUUCAUGAGCCCGGAGCUCCUUUCUCUGUGGAUCCUCUCUCACCCCUUAACCUCCUUCUGACCACAUUACCCAAGUAACAACCGACCUCAAAACCUCUGGAGCUUGUGACAGAGGCCAGCAAGUAAAGGGCCAGAGAGUAAAUAUCUCCACUGUAACUGCUCAGCUCUCCUGUUGUUGCAUGAGGGCAGCCAAGACGUG